GCAGUAGCCGCGGUAAAACGGAGGGGGCUAGCGUUGUUCGGAAUUACUGGGCGUAAAGCGCACGUAGGCUGCUUUGUAAGUCUGUCGUGAAAUCCCCCGGCUUAACCGGGGAAGUGGCAUCGAUACGACCGUCCUCGAGGAACGUAGGGGGACCUGGAACUUCCGGUGGAGCGGUGAAAUGCGUUGAGAUCGGUAGGAACGCCCGUGGCGAAAGCGAGGUCCUGGACGUUUACUGACGCUGAGACGCGAAAGCUAGGGGAGCGAACAGGAUUAGAUACCCCGGUAGUCCCUGUCUCUUAUAC
rnacentral:rRNA from 1 species